rnacentral:miRNA from 1 species
AUUGAGUCUGGAUUCCUGUGUUCUA